rnacentral:misc_RNA from 1 species
CCGAGUUAGGGGAGAGGCCUUGGGACACCCCGUGGUCCUCCCCGAACCUCCCAACCCUUUGUCUACUUAACCACAACGUUGCUUCGGCAGGCCCGCCGACCCCCAGGCGCCUAAAAACCGCCCGGGGUGACGCCGCCGGGGGUCUCACGACCCCGGGCCCGCGCCUGUCGAUGGCCCCCUUCAAAACUCUUUGUCAAAACGUGUCGUCUGAGUUACAAAACAAAUAAAAACCA